GUGGGUGAUCUGCCCUGCACCUCGGGAUAAGCCUGGGAAACUGGGUCUAAUACCGGAUAGGACGAUGGUUUGGAUGCCAUUGUGGAAAGUUUUUCGGUGUGGGAUGAGCUCGCGGCCUAUCAGCUUGUUGGUGGGGUAAUGGCCUACCAAGGCGUCGACGGGUAGCCGGCCCGAGAGGGUGUACGGCCACAUUGGGAUUGAGAUACGGCCCAG
rnacentral:rRNA from 1 species